GGAAGGAUUCUGGAUCAGCACCAUGAUGCAAACUCGUAGCCACUGUGUAUACAGUAUUCUGGAAAAGGUGCUGUAUUCAGCUGACAUGAUGAUGCUGCUCAUCUUCAUCUCCAGCUGUGUGGGUGGAGCAGCAGCAGAGGUGGAGGCUGAGGAUGGUGUGGAUGAUCAGGAGCUUCACUCUGAGUCCUGACCUCCUCCUUGUGCUUCAGUGACUUCUGCCUCCAUAAUUUGGUCACCAUGGCGACCAGCUGGAUGAUUGGUGUCCCUCCUCUCACUUUCUGAGGAAAAGGAGGAAACUGAGAUUCUGGGUUCAUCUGAUUCUCAGCAGCAGACAGAAUUUCAUGGUUUGAUCCAGAAGUUGAAACUUUCGUACAUGUUUCAGGAUGUCAGAGGAGCCGGUGGAGCUUUUGUUACCAGAGAUGGGAUCAGAUCUGAGGAGGCAGAUGAAUCAUUUCAGAGAGUGUGUCGAAAGUUGUUUUCAACACUGGUGUGUUCGAACUGUGAGCACCCUUUUAGCUAAAUGCAGUGAUCUGAUUGGUCAGAUCUGUUUAUUUGUACGCAAAAAUCAGGAAAAUCAAACUUUUACAGGAAAAAGUAAAUGCCUCAAAUUUGUGCUGUGACAUCAGGCGAUGUGUGAACAGCUGCAUUAAAAUUCAUGAGUCUGAAAAAUAUUUUUAACACAUGAAAAGAGCUGCUCCUUACUGAACCCGACCCUGCAGAGCACUGAGGGCAUCCUGUCCAGCUUCAGGACCACCUGGCAGGAGUUUGUGGAGGACCUGGGCUUCUGGAGGGUCCUGCUGCUGCUGUUGGUCAUCGCCCUCCUCUCCCUGGGCCUCGCCUACUACGUCAGCAGAGUCCCGCCUUUCUCAGGGUGAAGAGGAGGCAGGAAAAUAGAUGAAGAUCUUUAUGUAGAACAAAAACUCUGGUAUUUAUUUGUUGUGCAAAUCUGGUCAUUUUAUUUGAACAACAUCAUGUGAUGCUGCCAGUGCAAAGAAGAGAGGACGAUGACUCAGAGACACCAACAGCUUCAUGUGUGGCCUAACACCUUUACAACCACGCACUGAUAAAGUCACUUUUACAUCCCUGUUUGCUCUGUUACAAGCUGUAUAUUGCUGAUGUUUUGUAUCUUUUCAUUGUUUUCUCCUCACUUGUUAUUUAUUCAAAUGUUGUUGGUAUGAAUUUUUCCCUCGCUGUCUUUAUUUCACACAAAUACCUGCAGCCUUUCUGACUGGAAACAGUUUUGUCAGGAUAACAGAGCCGACUGCAGAGAAACACCUGGACUGAGUUUAGAUGAAGCUUCAGGUUUAACUGUGGGAUUAUAGCAGCAGAUUAAUGCUUCUUACUCUGUUGUAUAUUCAUUUUAUCUUAAUGUGCUUUUGUUAAAGGUUUUCAGUGUUUAUUCCAUCAAACAUUUGAAGUCAUUUAAUGUGCAAAAUGAA